GGAGGAAAAAAGAGAAGAUAAGAAAUCAUAAGAAGGUUCCGCUGCUGUCUAGCCCUGUGCUUAACACACAGAGAAAAGUACCGUGGAGGCAUCUCUCAAGAAAAUGGACUCCAGGAUUUUAUGCCCUUCAACGGAUGAGUGGAUAAGG